rnacentral:rRNA from 1 species
AACGAACGCUGGCGGCGCGCCUAAUACAUGCAAGUCGAGCGAGAAGACGUAGCAAUACGUUUGUAAAGCGGCGAACGGGUGAGGAAUACAUGGGUAACCUACCCUCGAGUGGGGAAUAACUAGCCGAAAGGUUAGCUAAUACCGCGUACGCUCCUUGGACUUCGGUUCAGGGAGGAAAGCGAUACCGUGGGUAUCGCGCUCUUGGAUGGGCUCAUGUCCUAUCAGCUUGUUGGUGAGGAACGGCUCACCAAGGCUUCGACGGGUAGCUGGUCUGAGAGGACGAUCAGCCACACUGGCACUGCGACACGGGCCAGACUCCUACGGGAGCAGCAGUAAGGAAUAUUGCGCAAUGGGCGAAAGCCUGACGCAGCGACGCCGCGUGGGGGAU